UUACCAUGUGUGUCACCAACGUAGUAAACAGAAUACCAUGAUACCUUUACUAUGGUAUUGUUACUACAUGUCUGUCUCAGCUGUGACAUCAUUGGCAAAUGUUAUAAAAAAUGCGAGUUUUGACAGCUCUCUCUCGAAUCAAAGAGUCUCGUAUCAUAUUAUCCAUGGUAGCAAUUACCAAGAAUGAAGUGCGGUGCUCUACGUAGCUGUAGCGGUAGCAAAAAAUUGAGAGCGAUAUAAGAGCAGAGGUUGUUGUUUUUUUUUGUGUUUUUUGCUAUUUUGUCAAAAUUUUUGUUUCUGAAUAAAAUAUUAUUAUUAAA